UGAGCAAUCUGCCCUUCUCUUCGGAAUAAGCGUGGGAAACCGCGUCUAAUGCCGAAUACGACCUCCUUUCGCAUGAUCGGAGGUGGAAAGCUCCGGCGGAGAAGGAUGAGCUCGCGGCCUAUCAGCUAGUUGGUGUGGGUAAUGGCCCACCAAGGCGACGACGGGUAGCCGGCCUGGAGAGGGUGACCGGCCACACUGGGACUGAGACACGGCCCAGACCUCCGUACGGGGAGG
rnacentral:rRNA from 1 species